ACCUCAUGGUUUGGAAAUUGCAUUAGUUUUUCAUUGAAUCUUUCCCACACUUCAUAAAAAGGCUCUUCAUUUAAUUUACUAAAGUAGGUGAUCUCAUAUACAAAGGU
rfam:Capsicum annuum cultivar Zunla-1 chromosome 3, whole genome shotgun sequence